UGGACCUUUUAUUUUUCUCUAUAACCUCCAGCUGAAGAAGAUUGUCUUAGACACAUGGAAGCUGAGGACGCCUACUGUCCCCUCGGAACCCAGGUGGGGCUGGGAGUCUGCUGUUUGUAUAGCCGGUGGGCUCGUGUUGCUUUGGGCAUCCCUGUGUCUGAAUUCCUGCAGUACACUCGGUGGUUUUACCUGAACCACCAGCUUCUGCAUCUCUGAAGACAGAUGAUGAGGACCCUUCACGUAAACCGUUCGCACAGCCCUGUGCAGGCCUUUGUGCUGCACGGUCUGCCCGGCGAGAUAACUGAGUGCAUUCCAUGGUGCAUCCUCGCCUAGAAUUGAGUGGAAGCAAGUCCAUCUCAGAAGGGACAUAACUGAAGGGGGAUGGCUUCCCAGACUCUGAUGGGCAGAGAGAGCAGCAGCCUGGCAUCUCUGAGCCCGCCCUUGGUGACCUCAGAGAGAUCACCCUAGUGGCCCAGACUAGUGACCGGGAACAUGUACCUUCCUGCAGCCAACCCCAGACGUCCACUGAUGCAUCAUAUACUGGCAAAGAUCCUGGCCUAGGGGGGCCUUGGCCGCUGGAGAUUCGCCAGAUGUUGGACUCCAGGUAAGCUUGCUCCUGGGUGGUGGGGCGGUUAGGUCAG